AUGCUUGUGUGGAAUGUGCGAGGCCUAAGCGCCCCCGCGAGGAGGAAUGUAGUCUUUCAGGUGGUGAAUUCGGCUAGUCCGGCCAUUGUGUGUUUGCAGGAAACGAAAAUGCAUGUGAUCUCGGACACUAUUGUACGACAGUGCCUUGGUAAUAUUGGGCAAGUCUUUUACUUGCCUGCUGUGGGGACACAUGGGGGUAUCUUGAUAGCUUGGGAUGAAACGAUCACCCAACUAUCAAACCUGCAUCAGACUAAUCAUACGCUUACGGUGCUUGUUAAGUGCAUGGAUGAUGCUCAGCCAUGGUGGCUAACUUGUGUGUAUGGGCCAUAG
rnacentral:rRNA from 1 species